GUCCUGAUUCCCUCUUUCCAUUAGGCUAGGGGCCCAUUGGUCGCCAGCCUCCAACCAUUAUCUCCGCUCCUGCACCCCUCCGCCAGCCAGCCUCCCUCUCUCUCCUCCCUCUCUCUCUCUCUCUCUCUCUCUCGCUCUGCUCUCCCGCCGUCCUUCAUUCCCAGCCGCCUCUCGAGUCGUAAAAAUGAUUUGCAUGCGGGCGCAGGGCAGAACUUUGCAGUGAGCACACAGAGAGUGAAUUGGGGAAGAGAAAGAAAGAAAGACAGAAAGAGGAGAGCGGUGGGAGCGAGACUGUAACAAACAAAAGGAGGAAAAAGAGAAGCAACACUUAACAACAAAUACAGAGAGGAGCGGUGCUCUGGGAAGCAGGAGAAAAAGUUAAAGGGACGACUACCCCCCGGUGACUGAAGAUGAGUUUGGAGGAGACGCCGUAGGCCUUCUUCUCUCCCCAGUGUGACGUUGUUCGACCCCGGAGAAAGGUCUGGACCAAAGUGGUGUCUGGACCCCCCCUUCCCCCCAUAAAAACCAUUUCAGAUGGAGGUGGAUGCAGACGAUAAACGACAUCGCACUCGCUCCAAAGCGCCAGUGGAUCCAGCAUUAACUGAGCUCUUCAGGUCAGUGUCAUUGAAACAUGUUUAAUUCAUG
ensembl:lncRNA